rnacentral:rRNA from 1 species
UACAGAGGGCGCGAGCGUUGUCCGGAAUCACUGGGCGUAAAGGGCGCGUAGGUGGCCACUAUAAGGCCGCGGUGAAAGUUCGGGGCUCAACCCUGAAUCUGCCGCGGCGACUGUAGGGCUUGGGCACCGUAGAGGCAGAUGGAAUUCCGGGUGUAGCGGUGGAAUGCGUAGAGAUCCGGAAGAACACCGAUGGCGAAGGCAGGUCUCUGGGCAUUAACUGACGCUGAGGAGCGAAAGCAUGGGGAGCGAACGAG